CCUACGGGUGGCUGCAGUGGGGAAUAUUGGACAAUGGGCGAAAGCCUGAUCCAGCCAUGCCGCGUGUGUGAAGAAGGCCUUCGGGUUGUAAAGCACUUUCAGUGGGGAAGAAAGCCUUGGGGCUAAUACCCUCGAGGAAGGACAUCACCCACAGAAGAAGCACCGGCUAACUCCGUGCCAGCAGCCGCGGUAAUACGGAGGGUGCGAGCGUUAAUCGGAAUUACUGGGCGUAAAGCGCGCGUAGGCGGUCUGAUAAGCCGGUUGUGAAAGCCCCGGGCUCAACCUGGGAACGGCAUCCGGAACUGUCAGGCUAGAGUGCAGGAGAGGAAGGUAGAAUUCCCGGUGUCGCGGUGAAAUGCGUAGAGAUCGGGAGGAAUACCAGUGGCGAAGGCGGCCUCCUGGACUGACACUGACGCUGAGGUGCGAAAGCGUGGGUAGCAAACAGGAUUAGAUACCCGUGUAGUC
rnacentral:rRNA from 1 species